AAUGGCGUUCACAAUAGGAAUAGGAAUGCAACAGCUAGUCAACGGUAUCGGCAUAUAAGUGCCGAGGUUACAUAAAAUGGCGUCCAUGAGCACGAUCGAACGGGAAAUCUAGUACCGAUGAGCAAGCGAGUAAUAUUUCAGCGUAUCUCUCGGAAAUUUCGUCGAGCCGUUUAUUCUCGGUGAAGUUGUACGAAAUGGUUUCCAUGAAUUAACCGGAAAUUCAGCUCUUGGUCAGCGACAUCGGUGGGUAAGCGAGUAAUAUUUCAAC